rnacentral:rRNA from 1 species
GGACUUGGCAGUGUCCCAUAUCAACCUAGAGGAGCCUGUCCCAUAAUCGAUACUCCACGUUAGACCUAACCUGCUUUUGCCCCUCAGCCUAUAUACCGCCGUCGCCAGCUUGCCUAAUGAUAGGAACACAGCAAGCAAAACAGCCCCCACUAAUACGUCAGGUCAAGGUGUAGCUAAUAAGCAGGUCUCAG